GAGAGUCCUACAGCAAGACGCACACAGGUGUGUUGAGGUGCUGUGCCAUGCAAGGCCCACCUGCCCAGGGAUGGCAACACCCACAGGGAGCUGGGCCCUCGUCGAUCAUUAAUCCAGAAAACACCCCACAGACGGACGUGCCCAGAGACCAGCCUGACAGAGACAUCUUCUCAGGUUGGUAUCUUUCGGAGGAUCCCGCAACUCGAAGACAGAAAGGGGUUGAGAUCUGACACCUGUGCCGUCUUUUUUCUUGCCCAGCGAGCUUCUUAAAUAAACACAU